rnacentral:rRNA from 1 species
CCUACGGGAGGCAGCAGUGGGGAAUAUUGGACAAUGGAGGAAACUCUGACCCAGCAAUGCCGCGUGAAUGAAGAAGGUCUUCGGGUUGUAAAGUUCUUUAGUCAGGGAAGAAGUCAAUGACGGUACCUGACUACUAAGCUCCGGCUAACUACGUGCCAGCAGCCGCGGUAAUACGUAGGGAGCAAGCGUUGUUCGGAAUGACUGGGCGUAAAGGGUGAGUAGGCGGUUGUACAAGUUAGAAGUGAAAUACCCAGGGCUUAACUUGGGGGCUGCUUCUAAAACUGUAUGACUUGAGUGCAGUAGAGGGGAGUGGAAUUCCUAGUGUAGCGGUGGAAUGCGUAGAUAUUAGGAGGAACACCAGAGGCGAAGGCGGCUAACUGGACUGGAACUGACGCUGAGGCACGAAAGUGUGGGGAGCAAACAGGAUUAGAUACCCUGGUAGUC